GCAGGGGCUGUGAUGAGGUUAAUGGUGCCUCUGGGAAGGUGAGACCUUGGUGCUGUGGGAACCCAAAAGAAGAGCAUCAGCCUUGCUUUAUUUGGGAACAGCAUCACAGAGAGGUGAGACUGAGCAUCUUGAAGACAUGCAGGGGGUUUCCAGGAUGGAGAGGGCAAGAGCAUUCCAGGCGGAAGUGUAGCAGAGCAGGAUGAGCACAGCCCUUAGCACACAGCUAUUUCUGUGCCUCAUUACUCCACACUGCAUUACUUGGCAACAGGUCUUGCUCAGCCAUUGCUUGGUCUUUCAGUGGGCCCCGCCCACAAGCAACCACCUGUCAAUGAGCGACCAUUACUUGUCAUGCUCAGCUAUUGGUCAGUGCUACAGUGGGCCCCGCCCAAAAGCAGCCAUCUGUCAAUCAGCGAUCCUUAGUUGUCCUGCUCAGCUAUUGGUCAGCGCUGCAGUGAGCCCUGCCUACCAGUAACUGUCAGUGAGGGACCACAGGGGAAGUGAUUCAGUCAAGGGUCACUGGUGUGGUGUCAUCAGGUGGAGAGUGAGGUUAGAGGCAGAUUCAGGCCUGCUCCCAGAGGCCCUACAGCUCACCCAGCCUUGGGCCAGUGGGUGAGCUGGAGGGCCCAGGAACAGACUGGGGAAUACAUCCUGCAGGGGUCCAGCGCCCUCACUAAGGCCCUCCACUAGCCUUAGUCCAGGCCUUGAGGCAAUGAUGAACCGCUCCCUCACUCCUGUCUCUGUGACCUAAUAGCAGAGGCCAUCUGCCUGGGUCACAGUCUGUGAAACUGGUCUCCCCAUUUAGGUGGCCUGAGGAGACUGAGGGCCAGUAGGGUUGGGCGCCUGGCUCCCUCGGGGAUGACAGCUGGGCAGGAGGUGGGAACCUGCCCCUGAAGGAGCUGCCAGCUGAGAUCUGCCUGCACUUAACCAGGACUGGGACCUUAGAGGGUGAAAGCUGUGCCUUGGGACUUUGUCCUUUCUUGGUCAGAACAGAGAAUAACACUUGUUUUGUAGAGAUUUACAGGAAAAUCAUUACGUGACCAUGACCUGACCUCAAGAACAAAGGUUCUGACACCAAAGAAGUUAGCAACAGCUAACAGGAGACAGGAGGGAGGGAGAGGUUCACCGCUGCCCCAAGGCCUGGGCCAAGGCUAGUGGGGGCUUAGUGAGGGUUCUGGAGCCCUGUAAGAUGUAGUCCCCAGCCUGUUCCAGCUCACCCACUGGCCCAGGGCUGUGUGAACUGGAGAGCCUCUGGGAGAAGGCCUGAAUCUGCCACUAACAUCACUAUCCACCUGAUGACCACCACACACUGACCCUUGACUGAAUCACUUCCCCAAUGGUUCCUCAUCGACAGCUGCCAGUAGCUGUACCUCCUCACCUUUUGCUUUUAAAAAGGUGCUUGCCAAAAGGUUUCAGUAACUUUGGGAUUCUUAGGCCAUGAGCCACCCAUCUCCUUGAUGGGCCUCACUGUGCAUCAGACACAUAGACUUGAGAUUCGGUACCAGAAGGAAGACCUUUAAACAAAAGGAACAGAAAGUGUGGCAGAGCUUGAUACCCUCUCGAAGUUUCACUAGCCCAGCAGUAAAGACAUGUUAUGAGAUGGAACAGCAAGAGGUUUAAGAUGAGGUCAACAGGCAAGAUAAAGAAGGCCCUUCAUUGGCAAACUCAGGAGUCUGAACUUCAUUCAACUAGUAAUUGAACGAGUGAUCCCAGCCUGGAGUCCAGGAAUGCCUCAAGAUCCCUUAUGCUUGAUCAGAGGGCAUAUAAUGGGAGAAUCGCUGUAUGGAAAAAGCAAAAAACUGAGAGUCAAACCUGCUAAGACUGGAUCAUACCAACAGUGCCACCUUCCCACCUCAUAGCAAGAAGCAAAUGGCCUAAUCCAAGGAGCAACCGAGGAGGGCUUCUCAGAGGAGUUGACCCACCCAGUGAGCAGGGACCAGCAGAAGAAAGAAUGUCCAGAGAGGAUGUGCACAGGUAAAGAUCCUAAGUGAGGGAAGUUCCAGUUGUGCUGGGCAAAUGGAAAGAAGGUCAGCUCAGAGUGACUACAGGGUUGGAGUCAGAUGAAUAGAGGCACCUCACUAGUAUUACUAUUAUUGCAAGCAGACUGGCUCUGGAGGAACAUGGCUGAAAGGCCCCUUACCACUAUCCUCUCUAAUCUGGAUUCAAAGGCCCGCUGUGGACACCGGGCUAGUUUCUCCUCACCGGGCCACGCCACUGGUGCAUGGUCACUUAAGAGUGGCCAACUCCUCGGCGGGAGGUUCUUGGCAGGAUGCCCGGGCCAGACCGGCUGAGCUUGGCUGAAGCCUGCAGGACCCUGCCACGGGGCUGUCAAUCCGCCCAGCGAU